AAACUCGUAUACAUUAAAACCAAGAUUUUAUCCAUUUAUAGCUGGAGCCU
rnacentral:tRNA from 1 species